rnacentral:rRNA from 1 species
GACGAACGCUGGCGGCGUGCUUAACACAUGCAAGUCGAACGGUGAAGCUCCAGCUUGCUGGAGUGGAUCAGUGGCGAACGGGUGAGUAACACGUGAGCAACCUGCCCCUGACUCUGGAAUAAGCGCUGGAAACGGCGUCUAAUACUGGAUACGAGAAGGGUCCGCAUGGGCACUUUCUGAAAAGUUUUUCGGUUGGGGAUGGGCUCGCGGCCUAUCAGCUUGUUGGUGAGGUAAUGGCUCACCAAGGCGACGACGGGUAGCCGGCCUGAGAGGGCGACCGGCCACACUGGGACUGAGACACGGCCCAGACUCCUACGGGAGGCAGCAGUGGGGAAUAUUGCACAAUGGGCGAAAGCCUGAUGCAGCGACGCCGCGUGAGGGAUGACGGCCUUCGGGUUGUAAACCUCUUUCAGCAGGGAAGAAGCGAAAGUGACGGUACCUGCAGAAGAAGCACCGGCUAACUACGUG